UCUACGGUGCGCAGCAGUGGGGAAUAUUGGACAAUGGGCGAAAGCCUGAUCCAGCCAUGCCGCGUGUGUGAAGAAGGCCUUCGGGUUGUAAAGCACUUUCAGUGGGGAAGAAAGCCUUGGGGCUAAUACCCUCGAGGAAGGACAUCACCCACAGAAGAAGCACCGGCUAACUCCGUGCCAGCAGCCGCGGUAAUACGGAGGGUGCGAGCGUUAAUCGGAAUUACUGGGCGUAAAGCGCGCGUAGGCGGUCUGAUAAGCCGGUUGUGAAAGCCCCGGGCUCAACCUGGGAACGGCAUCCGGAACUGUCAGGCUAGAGUGCAGGAGAGGAAGGUAGAAUUCCCGGUGUAGCGGUGAAAUGCGUAGAGAUCGGGAGGAAUACCAGUGGCGAAGGCGGCCUUCUGGACUGACACUGACGCUGAGGUGCGAAAGCGUGGGUAGCAAACAGGAUUAGAUACCCUAGUAGUC
rnacentral:rRNA from 1 species